UUGGUCCCCGUCAACCAGCUGU
rnacentral:miRNA from 1 species